rnacentral:misc_RNA from 1 species
UCUCCGUUGGUGAACCAGCGGAGGGAUCAUUAUCGAGUUUUCAACUCCCAACCCUAUGUGAACUUACCAUUGUUGCUUCGGCGGCCUCGGCCGUCGAAGGUCUCCAAACUCUUUUUUUUAUACAUGAGAAUUUCUGAGUGGCCGAAAGGCAAAAACAAAUGAAUCAAAACUUUCAACAACGGAUCUCUUGGUUCUGGCAUCGAUGAAGAACGCAGC